rnacentral:rRNA from 1 species
UACGUAGGGGGCAAGCGUUGUCCGGAUUUAUUGGGCGUAAAGAGCGUGUAGGCGGCCAAACAGGUCAGCUGUGAAAACUCGAGGCUCAACCUCGAGACGUCGGUUGAAACCGUUUGGCUAGAGUCCGGAAGAGGAGAGUGGAAUUCCUGGUGUAGCGGUGAAAUGCGCAGAUAUCAGGAGGAACACCGAUGGCGAAGGCAGGUCUCUGGGCCGAUACUGACGCUGAGGAGCGAAAGCGUGGGGAGCGAACAGG